GGGGAUAUAGUAUAAUGGCAUUACGCGGUGUUUGCAUCAUUGCGACGCUGGUUCGAUUCCAGCUAUCUCCA